GACGAACGCUGGCGGCGUGCUUAACACAUGCAAGUCGAACGGAAAGGCCCUGCUUUUGUGGGGUGCUCGGGUUGCGAACGGGUGAGUAACACUUUAGUAACCUGCCCUUGACUUUGGGUUAACUUCAGGAAACUGGGGCUAAUACCGGAUAGGAGCUCCUGCUGCAUGGUGGGGCUUGGAAAGUUUCGGCGGUUGGGGAUGGACUCGCGGCUUAUCAGCUUGUUGGUGGGGUGGUGGCUUACCAAGGCUUUGAGAGGUAGCAGGGCUGGGAGGGUAACCGGACAAGUCAGGACGGAGAUGCGGCACAGACUAGUACGCGAGGGAGGGGAGGAGAGUGGAGCACAAGGGGAGGGAGGCUAAUGCGACAAAGCCGCGUGGGGGAUGAGAGGAAGCGGGUUGUAAACCGAUUUCGCUUGAGACGAAGAGUGAGUGACGGUAAUGGGAAAAGAAGCACCGGCUAACUACGUG
rnacentral:rRNA from 1 species